AUAUAGCGACUUCUGGCGAGUUUUAGGACAGCCAAUAGCUACUUUCCUUGCUGAGGAGUUGGCAACAGUGUCCCCGGUACCCCGGUGGACGUGAGGAGCCUGUGUGUGUAGAGGAGGUGAAGGAGGAGGAGGGUUGUGUGACCAAAGUCUCAGCAACUGGGGUUGUGAAUAAGUUGUUUCUUCUUGGCCUGUUUCUUGUGGGACGACGACGACGACGGCGAGUGCAAAGUAGUUCGGGGCGUUUGCGGUCGAUGGACUGCUGCGGUGGAACAAGGGCCGCGCAGCAGCAGCAGCACUCUGAGAUGCAGCUGAGGGUCACAGUGGGUCUCUGCACUCCUACAGCGGCCACGUGAAGCACGUCCUUAACCAGCAGAGCCAAAGGGCGCUUGGCCUUCAGAUGGUUCAGGAUUUGGCUAAGCCCGCAGCGUACACAGGAUGAGGUCCAGAGCCCUGCCGCUCAGCCGGGGUGUGAGCGUGUCUGGAAGCUGGCCUGUGCCCCGGUGGACGCCAGGAGCCUUCAGGGGCUUUGUGAUAAGAGGGGAGACAGACUCAUCACUCUCUGGCAAUGCCUGCCAGAGAGGGGCAAACAGCGAGCGGUCUGCCCUCCCAGACGCCGGGAGAGGCAAGUGAGAGGGGGGUGGCCUUUUGCCUCAUUUGCCUUUGCUCUCUUUUGCGCCUCUCAAUGACAUGACACACUUUUACAAACUUUUGGAGCCAUAAUGGAAGGCAAAUUGCAAAAGACACAGGAGUGCGAGCUGUCGAGGCCGUGCUCCUAUGGAACCUUUACGUACACUUGCUGUUGCUUGGAGAUGCUGGCUCUCUCACCCCGAAGCCGAAGCUCGCUACUUGGCCUCCGCUCUCUGCCGCUACAAGCCUGGCAAGUGGCAAACAUCAAGAUGACUCUGUCCUGUAUUCCCGUGUAUCUCUGUCAUAAGUCUGUCCUAAUUUUCUGUAACGUAAGAGUGCUGAAUCACAGAAAACAAGGAUAUUUGGCACGAGCGGCUGUUUACGUGCACCUUAGAAAUGGAGAAAUCUUUGUGGACACAAGCAGCCAAUCACACAAAGCUCAAGUCACAGGCAAGUGUUUCUGUGUGGUGACCACUAGAGGGCAGACAUGCUCUCGCAGUAGCUGGAUUGAGUUGCACUGUGGCAGGUGCAUGAGAGCCAUCUGAUCGUCAGCGGAACCCACUUAAGUGGAACUGUGUGCUUCAUGGGAGCAGCAAGAGUUCAGCAAGAAGAGCAGAGUUACCUGUGAGCGCGUGCGUGUGUGUCCUCCAGCACCAGCAACCAGAAACACUUGUGCUGUAUUGUGUGCUUGGCUCUUUCGAUCGGCACUGCCGUUUGUUUGCCAUAACUUUGGAAAGAAAUACAUUGCCAGUAUGACAGUUGGUUUGAGGUAAAAAAAUUAAAAAGUGCAAUACUGUUCACUGGUGAUUGGGUUUUUGCUUUUAUGUAACAAAAAAUACAUGAUAAAAAAUGAAUUGAGUUGAACCGCUAAAUAACAUGUUCUUUCAAGAUCUUGGAUUUAAAAUUCAAUUAAAUCUAGUUUUUUUUUGUACAUCUUUCAUGUGACAGCAGCUUUUCGGGUUUUAACAGCUGGAAAAGACGUCACUGUUUGGAAUAUGGUCAGAAAAAUCAGAGACUUGUGAUUAUCCCCUAAAAGAUUUUGGAUUACUGACAAACAAUCAAAAAGCAUGUGUUGUGGUUUUAUGCCAUAAGAUGUGCAUAAUGUGUCACUUGUGCUUGUGAAUUUAAAUGUUAGUGUUCACAGUUCUCUGUGGUUUGCUGUUGGAGAGAACACCCACAGCAAAGUCACUGAUUAUCAGAUAGUCAGUCUGGAAGGAAUUUUAAUUCCACCAACAGCUUAGCAGCAGUUUUCAUGGAGAUUUGUGUCCAUUUAGCCUUUUAAAAUAUUUUUGCAAAGAGUCAAAGGGAACAUGUUUUAUUUAUGAUAGGCUGAUAUCAUUGGUUCUGCUGUUAUUGUGUAUAAAUCCUUAAAAAAAAUCCAUUUAUGUAUAUAUUUGUUUAAAAAGUAUUCUUU